GGUCACUGCUAUCGGUGUUCGUCUAAGCCAUGCGAGUCAUAUGUUCUUCGGAGCAUGGCGUACUGCUCAGUAACACGUGGAUAACCUGCCCUUGGGUCUGGCAUAACUCCGGGAAACUGGGGAUAAUACCGGAUAACGCAUAUCUGCUGGAAUUCUUUAUGCGUGAAAUGGAUUCGUCUGCCCAAGGAUGGGUCUGCGGCCUAUCAGGUAGUAGUGGGUGUAAUGUACCUACUAGCCGACGACGGGUACGGGUUGUGAGAGCAAGAGCCCGGAGAUGGAUUCUGAGACAUGAAUCCAGGCCCUACGGGGCGCAGCAGGCGCGAAAACUUUACAAUGCGGGAAACCGUGAUAAGGGGACACCGAGUGCCAGCAUUAUAUGUUGGCUGUCCGGGUGUGUAAAAUACACCUGUUAGCAAGGGCCGGGCAAGACCGGUGCCAGCCGCCGCGGUAACACCGGCGGCCCGAGUGGUGAUCGUGUUUAUUGGGUCUAAAGGGUCCGUAGCCGGUUUGGUCAGUCCUCCGGGAAAUCUGACGGCUUAACCGUUAGGCUUUCGGGGGAUACUGCCAGACUUGGAACCGGGAGAGGUAAGAGGUACUACAGGGGUAGGAGUGAAAUCUUGUAAUCCCUGUGGGACCACCUGUGGCGAAGGCGUCUUACCAGAACGGGUUCGACGGUGAGGGACGAAAGCUGGGGGCACGAACCGGAUUAGAUACCCGGGUAGUCCCAGCCGUAAACGAUGCUCGCUAGGUGUCAGGCAUGGCGCGACCGUGUCUGGUGCCGCAGGGAAGCCGUGAAGCGAGCCACCUGGGAAGUACGGCCGCAAGGCUGAAACUUAA
rnacentral:rRNA from 1 species